UACGGAGGGUGCAAACGUUGUUCGGAAUCAUUGGGCGUAAAGCGCACGUAGGCGGCCCGUUAAGUCGGAUGUGAAAGCCCAGGGCUCAACCCUGGAAGUGCAUUCGAUACUGCCAGGCUUGAAUAUGGAAGAGGGUCGCGGAAUUCCCGGUGUAGAGGUGAAAUUCGUAGAUAUCGGGAGGAACACCAGUGGCGAAGGCGGCGACCUGGGCCAAUAUUGACGCUGAGGUGCGAAAGCGUGGGGAGCAAACAGG
rnacentral:rRNA from 1 species